AUGGGAGACUUCUGGGCAGACGCGGCCUCUCAGCGCGUGGCCAGAGGACUCUCGGGAAACGAUGAGGAGGCCGUUCUGGACCAGGGCAAGACCAGCACCUCCCUGCACACAAACUUUGAGAAAGAGGAACUGGAGAGCCACAGAGCCGUGUACGUCGGCGUUCACGUCCCGCUGGGCCGGCAGAGCCGCAGGCGGCACCGGCACCGCGGACACCGCCAUCACCGCAGGCGGCGGGACCGGGACGACCACGAGGACGGCCGGGAGUCUCCGGCGUACGACACGCCGUCCCAGAGGGUCCAGUUCCUCCUCGGCACCGAAGACGACGACGAGGAGCACAUCCCCCACGACCUGUUCACCGAGCUGGACGAGCUUGCCUUCAGGGACGGAGAGGUCCAGGUGUGGAAGGAAACGGCCAGGUGGCUGAAGUUCGAGGAAGACGUGGAGGACGGCGGCGAGCGCUGGAGCAAGCCGUACGUCGCCACGCUGUCGCUGCACAGCCUGUUUGAGCUUCGCUCCUGCAUAAUGAACGGCACCGUGCUGCUGGACAUGAGGGCCGGCGCCAUCGACGAGAUCGCAGACAUGGUGAUCGACAGCAUGCUGGCGACCGGCCAGCUGGAGGCGGAGCAGCAGGACAAGGUGAGGGAGGCUCUGCUGAAGCGCCACCAUCAUCAGAACGAGAAGAAGCUGAGCAACCGCAUCCCGCUGGUCCGCUCCUUCGCAGACAUAGGCAAGAAGCAUUCCGACUCAACGCUGCUGGAGCGCAACGGGCUGCUGGCGUCGCCGCAGUCGGCUCCAGGAAACCUGGACAACAAGAUCAGCGAGAGCCGGAUCAGCGCCGGCAGCCGAGAGAACAGCACCGUGGACUUCAGCAAGGUGGACAUGAACUUUAUGAAGAAGAUCCCGCCUGGCGCCGAAGCCUCCAACGUCCUGGUGGGAGAGGUGGACUUCCUGGAGCGGCCCAUCAUCGCCUUUGUCCGCCUGGCGCCGGCCGUGCUGCUGACGGGCCUCACUGAGGUUCCGGUACCGACCAGGUUUCUGUUCCUGCUGCUUGGUCCGUUCGGGAAAGGCCUGCAGUACCAUGAGAUCGGACGCUCCAUCGCCACACUGAUGACCGACGAGGUCUUCCAUGAUGUGGCGUACAAGGCCAAGGACAGGAACGACCUGCUGUCCGGCAUCGACGAAUUCCUGGACCAGGUCACGGUUCUGCCGCCAGGCGAGUGGGACCCCAGCAUCCGGAUCGAACCUCCGAAAAACGUCCCGUCUCAGGAGAAGAGGAAGACGGCGGCGCAGCCUAAUGGCUCCGCCCACUGCUCAGAGGCUGUGAAGGAGACGGAGCAUCACACGGGCCCAGAGCUGCAGCGGACGGGCAGGAUCUUCGGAGGCCUGGUGAACGACGUUCGGAGGAAAGCGCCGUUCUACUGGAGUGACAUCAAAGACGCGCUGAGUCUACAGUGUCUGGCAUCCGUCCUCUUCCUGUACUGCGCCUGCAUGUCGCCUGUCGUCACCUUCGGCGGUCUGCUGGGGGAGGCCACCCAGGGCAGCAUAGGCACCAUGGAGUCUCUGUUCGGGGCGUCCAUGACGGGCGUGGCCUACUCCCUGUUCGCCGGCCAGCCACUCACCAUCCUGGGCAGCACCGGCCCGGUUCUGGUGUUUGAGAAGAUCCUCUUCCAUUUCUGCGAGAAUCACGGUCUGUCCUACCUGUCCCUGCGGACGAGCAUCGGGCUGUGGACGGCCUUCCUGUGCGUCCUGCUGGUUGCCACGGACGCCAGCUCUCUGGUCUGCUACAUCACCCGCUUCACCGAGGAAGCCUUCGCCGCCCUCAUCUGCAUCAUCUUCAUCUACGAGGCUCUGGCCAAGCUGGUCAACAUGGGGAAGAAGUUCCCCGUCAACCUGCACAACCAGCUCAACAACCUCACCUUCUCCACAUGUCGGUGUUCUUCUCCCUCCAACGCCUCGGCCGACGUCCAGCAGAUCUGGAGCAGCAGGAACCUGACAGCAGGAAGCAUCGAGUGGGAGCAGCUGAACGUGACGGCUUGUCGGGACUUGAAGGGACAGUUUAUCGGGUCGGCUUGCAGUGAAAAAGGACCCUUCGUCCCAGACGUCCUCUUCUGGUCCGUCAUCCUCUUCUUCGCCACUUUCUUCCUCUCCUCGUUCCUCAAAAAGUUCAAGACCAAGAGAUACUUCCCCACCAAGGUGCGGUCGACCAUCAGUGACUUUGCCGUCUUCCUGACCAUCAUGGUCAUGGUGCUGCUGGAUUACCUGGUGGGAAUUCCUUCUCCCAAGCUGGAAGUCCCGGAGCGAUUCGAGCCCACCACCAGCGACCGGUCCUGGCUGGUUUCGCCACUCGGCGCCAACCCCUGGUGGACGCUGCUGGCGGCCGCCGUCCCCGCUCUGCUCUGCACCAUCCUGAUCUUCAUGGACCAGCAGAUCACCGCCAUCAUUAUCAACAGGAAGGAGAACAAGCUGAAGAAGGGCUGUGGGUACCACCUGGACCUGCUGGUGGUGGCAGUCAUGCUGGGGGUCUGCUCCAUCCUGGGCCUGCCCUGGUUCGUGGCGGCCACCGUCCUCUCCAUCUCCCACGUCAACAGCCUGAAGGUGGAGUCGGGCUGCGCCGCGCCGGGAGAGCAACCCAAGUUCCUGGGCAUCCGGGAGCAACGAGUGACGGGAUUCAUGAUCUUCAUCCUGAUGGGCUGCUCCGUCUUCAUGACGUCCGCGCUCAAGCUGAUCCCGAUGCCCGUCCUCUAUGGAGUCUUCCUCUACAUGGGAGUGUCGUCACUCAAAGGCAUCCAGCUCUUUGACCGGAUCAAGCUGUUCGGCAUGCCGGCCAAGCACCAGCCGGACCUCAUCUACCUGCGCUAUGUCCCGCUAUGGAAGGUCCACGUCUUCACCGCCGUCCAGCUGUCCUGCCUCAUCAUCCUCUGGGCCAUCAAGGCGUCGGGAGCCGCCGUCAUCUUCCCCAUGAUGGUUCUGGCGCUCGUCUUCAUCCGGAAGCUUCUGGACUUUUGCUUCACCAAGAGAGAGCUGAGCUGGCUGGACGACCUGAUCCCUGAGAGCAAGAAGAAGAAGGACGACGACAAGAAGAAGAAGGAGGAGGACGCCCAGCGGAUGAUGGAGGAAGCGGAGGACGAGCCUCAGAGCAUCCUGAAGUUCCCCAUCAAGUCGCUGAAGGACAGGUCUGACCCGUCUGAAGUCAACAUCUCUGAUGAAAUGGCCAAAAGUGGAAUCUGGAAAUCCGUUUCCAAGAACUCUGAGGGAGGAAAGGCUCUGAAACGCUGCAAGAGUCAGGAGAAACUUCCCAGCAUCCAGAUCAGCAUGGAGAGCGAGGACGGACGGAGGUUUGUGGACGCUGAGACGGCGUUAUGAUCCUCCACCGGGACGGCGAGGUGGGCGGGGCCUGAACGAGGCGGAGGACCAAUCAGCUUCCACCUGGCUGUGCUGCAUUUCUCUGAUGACAUGACUUUUAUUUCCUCAUCGUUUCACACGGACAAUCCUCAGGUUACUAUGUUUUUACUGCCAGACCACCGCUGUGCUCUGAUUGGCCGACGGCCAGCGAACUCAGAGGACGAAUAUUUAUUUCUCCUUCAGUUUCUGCUUCUCCUCCAUGAUCCAACGCGGAACGGACGUUUUAUUUAAUCUAUCAUGCUGAUUUCACUUCAGAGUGUGUGUGUGUGUGUGUGUGGGUGUGUGUGUGUGUGUGUGUCACCAUGUUGCCUGUAGGUUAAACCUCAGCAGAUGUUUUGUAGUUUCUUUGUAAUUUUUUUAAAUAAAUCAGUUGGGAGGAAACAUUUUCCACAUCAUGAGUCACAUGACCAACAGGAAGUGACUCCUGGAGGAAACCAUGAAGAAGACGAAGACAGGAAGUGAUUUCUGGAGGAAACCACGAAGAAGACGAAGACAGGAAGUGAUUUCUGGAGGAAACCACGAAAAAGACGAAGACAGGAAGUGAUUUCUGGAGGAAACCACGAAGAAGACGAAGACAGGAAGUAGUUUGUUUUUUUUUACCUUGGUGGAGUAGAUUUGUGACGUAAACACAGUAGGUGACACACCUGAGUGAAGUUGGCCCCCUCCUUCUUCAAGUCAGACGAAAUUAGUGUCAAACUUUUUUGCUCCGUUUGUGCAGCAAAGAUUUUUGUUUGUGCCGCUAUCAUUCUAAAGAUAUUAAGAAAAAUGAUCUCUAGGGGUCAUCAGAGGUCAACCACUCUCCUGGCCCUACUCACAUUUAAAUUUAUUGAUUUAAUUUAAUUGUUUUUCAUUUGUGCUGCUUUGGCUUUGAAGAUAUUAAUUAAAGUUUAGGGGUCAAAAGGUCAACCAGCCCGCCUUCUUUUAUAAACAGUUUCUGCUAGUUUGUGCACUGAUUUGAAGUCGUGUUGAUGAUGACUGUUGAUCAGGAAAUUGAGCUGGAAACAGCUGAUUAGACAUGUUUUGCUCUAGUCCUAUUGUUCAUAUUUCAACAGUACAGUUUGUCCAACAGCGCCCUCUGGUGAUCAGAAACUGAAAUACAGGUUUAUUUUGGAAGGUUUUGUUCCAGUUCAUUCUAAAUGAGACCAAGCGAAUUUCAUCCACGUUAACAUUAAAUUAUUCAUGUUUGUAGGUUAGCACUUAACAAUUUCAAAUGAAAUUCACAGAUCCAGCAUGAACUGAUGUUCACUGACCUUUGACCUCUAGAAACAUUGUAAUUAAUAUCUUCAAAAUGAAAGCUACACAACUGGAGUCGAGUUAAUUGAUUUCGUCUGAUUUGAAGAAGGUGGGGGGAGGGGGGGCUGGUUGACCUUUGAUGACCUCUAGAAACAUUUUUUUACAUCUUUAAAAUGAUAUAAAACAUUUUGCUGCACAAACGUUUGACACCAAUUUUGUCUGAUUUGAAGGUCUGGAGCCGACUUGCCUCAGGAAACUGAUUUUAUUUCCUGUUUCUGAUGAUUGAGAUCAUUUUAUUUCUGUGUUCAGAAACGGCCAGCAGGUAACGCUCUGGACCGGACCCGACCCGAUCCGACCGGACCCAACCCGGACCUGCCGUGGCCCCUGCCGCCGCUCUGGUGAUGGCGGCGGGUUGCCUGCGUCGCGUCCUGGUGAAGCGGCUGCAGAUUUCUGGUGGGCCGGAGCGGACUCACCUGCGGCCCGCAGCAUGACCUCGGUGACCCCCAGCGACCCGUUGUGCGGCGCCGGCUGGAUGCCCAGCAGCCUGCAGAGCAGCGGGUAGACGUGGAUGCUGUCGAAUGGGUCGGACACAAAGUUCUGCUUGAAGCUCGGUCCGACGGCCCGGAAGAUGGUCUUCAUGUCCAUCUCCCCGUUGUGGAAGCCGUGGUCGCCUUUGUUCACGUAGACGAUGAACCUCUGAGAAACAGAGAGGCAGGGUGACCUUUGACCUCACCUGCUGCUCUGGAACCAGAAACUCCAUUUGAACAAUUUUACACCUAAAAAAAAAACUGAUUUCCUGAUUUUAUCUUUAAUUAAAUGUCAAACGCAACAGAAAGUCCUUAAAAUGAGAUCUGGACCUGAACGACUGAAUUUCUGUUUCUGUUUCUGUGAGGUCAGGAAAUGGACUUCAAAAUAAGAGCAUGAAUGAUUCUUAACAGUUUAAAACCAAAACACAGAUGUUUAACUUUAUUCAACUGAAAGUUUCUAAACCAGUAAAUUAGUGCUUCAGAAUUGAGCUGGAAAAUGAUCUUAGUGGAAGCUAAUUGCGCUAAACGUUUCCAAAGUUAGCUAAAUGGUUUUAGCUAAGCUAAAAUUUAGCAGAAGUUUGACGCUAUGACUGAACCAAAGUUCCAUCUGCGCUUUAAAUACUGAGUGAAUAUUUAUGCAGUCACUCGUUUAAAAGUCCCUCUAGCUUUAAUUAUUUUACUUUGAAUAAAAUAAUCCCUUAACCAGCUAGCUAGUUAAAUCUGUUUCUCAUUAUUUUACUUUGACAGGGUGUCCACACAUUAAGUCUUAAUUUGUGUAAAAGUAAGAAAUUAAAAUGUCUUGAAUUCAUUUAAAAUGUAAAUUAAACACGUUAAUCACCAGUCUUAAAUUUUGUCGUAGCAAUUUUAUUUUUCAACAUUUGAGUCAUUUGCAGACGUUUCAUUGCGUUCUGCGCCUGGAGCGGUUGAGGCUACCGCUAACUACCUGCUAAUAAACCCUUGCUAGCUAGUUAGCUGGCGUUUUGUUUUGUUUCUUUUGUUGUUUUUUCAUAUUUAAUGAGUUAAGUGCAGACUAAUCACCAGUUUGAAGAAGAAAGAUCGUCUCUCCCAUUGGCUCACUUCUGUUCCAGCUCGUUUGAUGCUGCGUUCAUUCUGGGCUGAAAGGAUUGGCACUAUGGACCUUACGGCUAAAUUGCACAUUUUAUUUGUAAUUAAAUACAAAAAUCCACUUUU